GUCACUAUAUUUUUUUUUGUAAAAGUCAUUUUAUUAUCGAAUAAUUUAGUAUUGUGGAAUAUAUGUAUUGUUAAAGAAUGUUUAUACAUAAUUUAAUUCAGAGCUUGCGCUUACCAGCAGUACUGAAAAUCCUGGCAUCGCCUUUUCCGGCCGUAAUGUCAAGUUUCGUUAGAAAAACAAAAACAAUUCAAUAAGGUUUGCUCUUCGAACGUCAAAACAAAGCAGGCGAAGUAAUUCUGCCGGCCCUCUGCUGCUGCUAGAGUUCGAAAUUACGCAUAUUCGAUAUUAGUUAUUAAUUACUAAUAUUUUUUUGUCCUUCUAAAUAUUUUGCGCGGAAAACUUCGACUCCAUGGUUCAAUGAUUAAGGUAUCUGCCUAUUAAUCGUAAGGUCGUGGUUUCGAUUCCAAGCGGAAAAGUCUUUAUUAUGAGCUGAUUUUUGUUUACUUUAAUUUUUUUUUUAAAUCGCAAUCUCAAAAUAAACUGUUAUAUUCAAUAUUUUUUUUUAAAUGGGGGUUCUUAAUAAUUGAGAUUGUUUUAAACAUGCAAAUUUGUAGAGGUAUAUUAUAGUCUGUCACAAAGUCCUCGCGAUUCCUUGAUAGAUUAGAGGCGUGCAUGUCGGUCCAGUAUACUAAAGCACUAAGGUUCGAAUCCCAGGUUUACAACAUAAAUUAACAGCAAUUUUUAAGGAAUACAUUAAAAAUAAUGAUUACAAAAUUAGGAGAUGGUAAGGGGAAAUUUUUUUUCUUUGAUUUUGGGUUAUGAAUGCGACCUGAUUUAGCCCGGAUUUUCAGCGCGGAUUCAGGUCUGAAUCAGAGGCGAUUUCGAGACAAUUUUCACGCCGGAAUCCGGAUUCGAAAUCCGGGCGGAUUCUGGGCUGAUUCAUGCCUGAAAUCGAAUUUCGGGCCGGGAGGACAUUUUCAGGGUAAUGGUACCCACCCAGCAGUACUGGAUUGGUCAGGAUCAUAAAUCAAUUUGAUCACUGAACGAGUAGCAUUGAUGAUAUCACUAAAUUGUCACCAUACAAAGCUUCGGAUCGAAUGCACUGGAGGACAACCAAGGAUGAACAAAGCAGGAGUAACUGUACUCGUUGUUUCUUCAUGAAUAUUUCAGCUAGCGCAUGGAAGCCCCGUUAUAACCGAAAAACCAGCUUAACCACUUACUCAUUGAGUAUUUAUUAGCACAUCCCCUUUUUGUGGACCUGGAAGGAAAGAUCUACUAAUCGGCAUUGAACACUAUUACUCGCUGCUUGAUCCAAAAGGACAAAUAGUCGGAAAAGAUGCUGCCAUGCUGCAAAACACAAAACAUAAAGGGAUUGGAAGCAAAAUGAAUCAAAUCCUAAACUAAAUCAGUCAUAUCAAGGGGAGUCGGCUUUGUGCAAAACGUCAAGCUUAAAAUCUCUACUCCACUUCAGAUCUCACGGGGUAUUCAUGGCGGAAAUACAAAGUAUAUACUGGCAAGUGUGAAAUAAUCUAUAUAAUAGAUUCUAUCACCUUAUAAUUUGCCUAAAUACAAUCGAAUUAAAACAAAUAUGGAACCAAGACAUCAAAAUGCCUGAAUCAUGUAGCAAUCAUAUCACGGGUCAACUAGCCGAUACCAUCGGCUACACUCGAAAAUGGCUUCUUUGUAGAUACUUCCUGGAAUAAUUCAAGUGCAUACGGAACUGAAUAAAAUACUACUGCCACACAGUAUUAAAACUACGAAGAAUGGUGAUCAAAUAAUGCAGAACUGGUUAAUAAAAAACCCAAAGAGGAAGCCGUGAGAGACGUAAAACCAAUACAGUAUCAAAGCCAUUGGCCUCAUAUAAUUUUAACAGUAUUCUUACAAAUUUUUACAACAGUGAACUGGUAAUAACAAAACGAGUGGACUGCUUUGAGUUAUUACAAAUUUCAACCCAAAAAGGGCUUUUUUUGCGCCAGUUGUAGUAAAGCCAAAAGUAUUCAUUCGAUUAAAACAAAGUUUAUAAAAUAUCCAAACGUAAACAUUGUUAUCUUAUGAUCGGGAAGAUUAUGUUGUGAAGAUGUUUAUAUUAGAUUAUCUGUAACUAA